UAACUUAUAGCUUAAUUGGUUAAAGCAUACACCUGAUAAGUGUACUAAUAGUAGUUCAAGUCUACUUAAGUUAA
rnacentral:tRNA from 1 species